rnacentral:rRNA from 1 species
AGAGUUUGAUCCUGGCUCAGGAUGAACGCUGGCGGUCUGCUUAACACAUGCAAGUCGAACGGAGUAGAAAUACUUAGUGGCGGACGGGUGAGUAACGCGUGAGAAUCUGCCUUCAGGACGGAGACAACAGUUGGAAACGACUGCUAAGCCCCGAUGAACCGAAAGGGAAAAUAUUUAUAGCCUGAAGAUGAGCUCGCGUCCGAUUAGCUAGUUGGCGGAGUAAAAGCCCACCAGGGCGACGAUCGGUAGCUGGUCUGAGAGGACGAUCAGCCACACUGGGACUGAGACACGGCCCAGACUCCUAUGGGAGGCAGCAGUGGGGAAUUUUCCGCAAUGGGCGAAAGCCUGACGGAGCAAGACCGCGUGGGGGAAGAAGGCUCUUGGGUUGUAAACCCCUUUUCUCUGGGAAGAAAGUUGUGAAAGCAACCUGACGGUACCAGAGGAAUCAGCAUCGGCUAACUCCGUGCCAGCAGCCGCGGUAAGACGGAGGAUGCAAGCGUUAUCCGGAAUGAUUGGGCGUAAAGCGUCCGCAGGUGGCAGUUCAAGUCUGCUGUCAAAGACCGGGGCUUAACUUCGGAAAGGCAGUGGAAACUGAACAGCUAGAGUAUGGUAGGGGCAGAGGGAAUUCCUGGUGUAGCGGUGAAAUGCGUAGAGAUCAGGAAGAACAUCGGUGGCGAAGGCGCUCUGCUGGACCAUAACUGACACUCAGGGACGAAAGCUAGGGGAGCGAAUGGGAUUAGAUACCCCCGUAGUCC